GGCUGGUCCGAAAGUAGUGAGUUAUCUGACUUGAUUGUUCACAGUCAACUACAGAUCUAACUCCUUGUUCUGCUCUUUCCCCCUUCUCACUGCUGCACUUGACUAGUCUAAA
ensembl:misc_RNA Y_RNA Y RNA